rnacentral:rRNA from 1 species
UACAGAGACUGCAAGCGUUAUUCGGAUUCACUGGGCGUAAAGGGUGCGCAGGCGGCCGAGUGUGUGAGGCGUGAAAGCCCGGGGCUUAACCCCGGAAUUGCACCUCAAACUACACGGCUAGAGCAUUGGAGAGGGUAGCAGAAUUCACGGUGUAGCAGUGAAAUGCGUAGAUAUCGUGAGGAAUACCAGAGGCGAAGGCGGCUACCUGGACAAUUGCUGACGCUCAGGCACGAAGGUCAGGGGAGCAAACGGG